rnacentral:rRNA from 1 species
AAUAACACGAGGAAACUUGUGCUAAUACCGGAUAAGUCUUUACGGAGAAAGCUUUAUGCACCAUUGGAUGAGCCUGCACUUGAUUAGUUUGUUGGUGGGGUAAUGGCCUACCAAGACUGUGAUCAAUAGCUGAUUUGAGAGGAUGAUCAGCCACAUUGGGACUGAGACACGGCCCAAACUCCUACGGGAGGCAGCAGUGGGGAAUCUUGCACAAUGGAGGAAACUCUGAUGCAGCGAUGCCGCGUGAGUGAAGAAGGCCUUUGGGUUGUAAAGCUCUUUCGUCGGGGAAGAA